rnacentral:rRNA from 1 species
ACGAACGCUGGCGGCGUGCUUCACACAUGCAAGUCGAACGGAAAGGCCCUGCUUUUGUGGGGCGCUCGAGUGGCGAACGGGUGAGUAACACGUGAGUAACCUGCCCUUGACUUUGGGAUAACUUCAGGAAACUGGGGCUAAUACCGGAUAGGAGCUCCUGCUGCAUGGUGGGGGUUGGAAAGUUUCGGCGGUUGGGGAUGGACUCGCGGCUUAUCAGCUUGUUGGUGGGGUAGUGGCUUACCAAGGCUUUGACGGGUAGCCGGCCUGAGAGGGUGACCGGCCACAUUGGGACUGAGAUACGGCCCAGACUCCUACGGGAGGCAGCAGUGGGGAAUAUUGCACAAUGGGCGGAAGCCUGAUGCAGCAACGCCGCGUGCGGGAUGACGGCCUUCGGGUUGUAAACCGCUUUCGCCUGUGACGAAGCGUGAGUGACGGUAAUGGGUAAAGAAGCACCGGCUAACUACGUG